AGUGAACGCUGGCGGUAGGCCUGACACAUGCAAGUCGAACGGCAGCACAGUAAGAGCUUGCUCUUACGGGUGGCGAGUGGCGGACGGGUGAGGAAUACAUCGGAAUCUACUUUUUCGUGGGGGAUAACGUAGGGAAACUUACGCUAAUACCGCAUACGACCUACGGGUGAAAGCAGGGGAUCUUCGGACCUUGCGCGAUUGAAUGAGCCGAUGUCGGAUUAGCUAGUUGGCGGGGUAAAGGCCCACCAAGGCGACGAUCCGUAGCUGGUCUGAGAGGAUGAUCAGCCACACUGGAACUGAGACACGGUCCAGACUCCUACGGGAGGCAGCAGUGGGGAAUAUUGGACAAUGGGCGCAAGCCUGAUCCAGCCAUACCGCGUGGGUGAAGAAGGCCUUCGGGUUGUAAAGCCCUUUUGUUGGGAAAGAAAAGCAGCAGCUUAAUACGCCGCUGUUCUGACGGUACCCAAAGAAUAAGCACCGGCUAACUUCGUG
rnacentral:rRNA from 1 species